rnacentral:lncRNA from 1 species
CGCCAUUCUCCUGCCUCAGCCUCCCGAGUAGCUGGAACUACAGGCGCCCGCCAUGAUGCCCGGCUCAUUUUCUGUGUUUUCAGUAGAGACGGGGUUUCACUGUGUUAGCCAGGAAAGUCUUGAUCUCCUGACCUCGUGAUCCUGACCUCGGCCUCCCAAAGUGCUGGGAUUACAGGCGCGAGCCACCGCGCCCGACAGCAGUUAUGAAGUUCUAAAAGCAAGUCUUAAUCAGGAAGUGUCCUUGAUCACCAACGGCUCGCCCAGGCAUGCUGGCUCUCUUCCACUUCCACCUUCCACCAUGGGAUGACGCAGUAAGAAGGCCAUCAGUAGAUGCCAGUCCCUCAACCUUGAACUUUCCAGACGCAGAACUUUAUGCCUCCAUUUUCCUCUGCUGCAUGGCCCCAGGAGAGAUUUUAAUUAGCUUUCUAACCUUGGUCCAGAUUGCACAUGCAAAUGGUAGAGGAUGCAACACCCCCGCUUGUGGAGCUGCCGCUUGUGUCUGGCAUGAAAAUUCACAAGAAGAGAGGAAAUACUGAGGAGAAAAUGGCAGAUUGUGUUUGCUGAAUUUGAUUGACGAAGAAGUCACCAUGAAAAUCACAGUGAACCAUUUGGAAAGCAAACUGCCAAAAAAUAAUAGUUAGUCAUGCUCUCAGGCUGGUUGUUUUGGCUGUUGUGGGUUUCUUGCAUUUCCAGAUGAUUGCAAAGAGCUGUUUCUCAAUUUCUGCAACAAGUGCCAGCUGAAAUUUUGGUACCAGUUUCAUUAAAUAUGUAGAACAAUUUGAGCCUGAGUGAGUUCUGUGGAGCCCAUACUACCUGCGAUUCAAGCCAGCAACCUUGGAAUCUCCCUGAACAAUUUCUAUGGUGUCCAAUCACAUUUGCAAUCACUCCCCACACUCAGACUGUGU